rnacentral:rRNA from 1 species
UUUUUGCUGACGACCGGCGCACGGGUGCGUAACGCGUAUGCAAUCUACCUUAUACUGGAGGAUAGCCCAGAGAAAUUUGGAUUAACACUUCAUAGUAUGUUUACCUCGCAUGGGGAAAACAUUAAAGGUUACGGUAUAAGAUGAGCAUGCGUCCUAUUAGCUAGAUGGUGUGGUAACGGCACACCAUGGCAACGAUAGGUAGGGGCCCUGAGAGGGGGAUCCCCCACACUGGUACUGAGACACGGACCAGACUCCUACGGGAGGCAGCAGUGAGGAAUAUUGGACAAUGGAGGCAACUCUGAUCCAGCCAUGCCGCGUGCAGGAAGACUGCCCUAUGGGUUGUAAACUGCUUUUAUACGGGAAGAAACGACUCUACGUGUAGAGUUUUGACGGUACCGUAAGAAUAAGGAUCGGCUAACUCCGUGCCAGCAGCCGCGGUAAUACGGAGGAUCCAAGCGUUAUCCGGAAUCAUUGGGUUUAAAGGGUCCGUAGGUGGAUAAUUAAGUCAGAGGUGAAAGUCUGCGGCUCAACCGUAGAAUUGCCUUUGAAACUGGUUAUCUUGAAUUAUUAUGAAGUAGUUAGAAUAUGUAGUGUAGCGGUGAAAUGCAUAGAUAUUACAUAGAAUACCAAUUGCGAAGGCAGAUUACUAAUAAUAUAUUGACACUGAUGGACGAAAGCGUGGGGAGCGAACGGGAUUAGAUACCCCGGUAGUCCACGCCGUAAACGAUGGAUACUAGCUGUUCGGCCUUCGGGCUGAGUGGCUAAGCGAAAGUGAUAAGUAUCCCACCUGGGGAGUACGUUCGC